CUGCAUCCUGAAACAAUUUGUGGGUUUUUUCCAGGUUUGCACUAAGAUGCAAAAGAAAAUACUCCCUGCGCUGUCUUUGUGACUGUCCUGAUUGAACUGGGGAGUACAUCU
rnacentral:snoRNA from 1 species